UUGGGGCCUGCCCCCACGAGAUGAAGAUGAGGACCAACUUUAUCUUCUAUUAGACGCAGAGUCUCUGGUCUGAUUCCUCAGUCUGCCGUCUUGAAAGCCUGACCGUGCAGAACCCCUGAAGCUCUCCUGGGAGGAAUCAUCACCACCUUCAGAAAGGCCACCUUGACUUUGGUCACUUUACAGGGGAC